rnacentral:sRNA from 1 species
GAGGUACAGUUCUGUAUAUGAAUGGCAUUUUCAGUAAAGAAGUCUUGAGUACAAACGUUAGCGUUGAAUACCGCUUCUCUGCCGAUCCUUAUCUUAGUGCCUCACGCAGUAACGACUUUGGUUUGUCUGUAUACGCCUCUGGCGGUUUAAACAAUUAAAGGAAAUAUCUGAAAUGGCAAAGAUUAAAGGUCAGGUUAAGUGGUUCAAUGAAUCUAAAGGCUUCGGCUUCAUCACUCCUGCUGACGGUAGCAAAGACGUAUUCGUACACUUCUCUGCAAUUCAAGGCAACGGUUUCAAAACGCUGGCUGAAGGCCAGAGCGUAGAGUUCGAAAUCCAAGAUGGUCAGAAAGGUCCAUCUGCAGUCAACGUUACCGCGCUGUAAUAACCGCUUACGUUGCAAAACCCGCCCUGGUGCGGGUUUUUUG